rnacentral:rRNA from 1 species
AGCGAACGCUGGCGCCAGGCCUAACACAUGCAAGUCGAACGGACCCUUCGGGGUUAGUGGCGGACGGGUGAGUAACACGCGGGAACGUGCCUUUAGGUUCGGAAUAGCUCCUGGAAACGGGUGGUAAUGCCGAAUGUGCCCUUAGGGGGAAAGAUUUAUCGCCUUUAGAGCGGCCCGCGUCUGAUUAGCUCGUUGGUGAGGUAAUAGCUCACCAAGGCUACGCUCAGUAGCUGGUCUGAUAGGAUGACCCGCCACAUUGGGACUGAGACGCGGCCCAAACUCCGACGGGGGGCAGCCGUGGGGAAUCUUGCGCAAUGGGCGAAAGCCUGACGCAGCCAUGCCGCGUGGAUGAUGAAGGUCUUAGGAUUGUAAAAUCCUUUCACCGGUGAAGAUAAUGACUGUAGCCGGAGAAGAAGCCCCGGCUAACUUCGUGCCAGCCGCCGCGGUAAAAC